rnacentral:rRNA from 1 species
AGCAGCCGCGGUAAUUCCAGCUCCAAUAGCGUAUAUUAAAGUUGUUGCAGUUAAAAAGCUCGUAGUUGAAUUUCGGGAUCAAUACGCCUGUCGUGCCUUCGGUACGUACGGGUGUAAUUGGUCUCUACCUUCUGAGGAUCCUUGAUGUCAUUAAUUUGGUGUCUUGGGGAAUCAGGACUGUUACCUUGAAAAAAUUAGAGUGUUUAAAGCAGGCAUACGCUUGGAUACAUUAGCAUGGAAUAAUGAAAUAGGACGUUCGAUUCUAUUUUGUUGGUUUCUAGAAUCGACGUAAUGAUUAAUAGGGAUAGUUGGGGGCAUUAGUAUUCAAUUGUCAGAGGUGAAAUUCUUGGAUUUAUUGAAGACUAACUACUGCGAAAGCAUUUGCCAAGGAUGUUUUCAUUAAUCAAGAACGAAAGUUAGGGGAUCGAAGACGAUCAGAUACCGUCGUAGUCUUAACCAUAAACUAUGCCGACUAGGGAUCGGAUGAUGUUAAUUUUUAAUGACUCAUUCGGCGCCUUAA